UUCAUUCAUUUAAUCAAUACUCUGACGCAAAGAGACAGCGUUCGGUGGUCCUCCGGGGGCGGCGGCGGACGCUCUGCCCCCGAGGCAAAAAGGGUUGGUCAACAAUGGGUUGGGGACGGGGGCGCGGGGGCCCGCCAUCUUUGGUAAUGAUCCCUCCGCAGGUUCACCUACGGAGA
rnacentral:misc_RNA from 1 species